CCUACGGGACGCACCAGUGGGGAAUAUUGGACAAUGGGCGAAAGCCUGAUCCAGCAAUGCCGCGUGUGUGAAGAAGGUCUUCGGAUUGUAAAGCACUUUCGACGGGGACGAUGAUGACGGUACCCGUAGAAGAAGCCCCGGCUAACUUCGUGCCAGCAGCCGCGGUAAUACGAAGGGGGCUAGCGUUGUUCGGAAUUACUGGGCGUAAAGCGCGCGUAGGCGGAUAGAUAAGUCAGAGGUGAAAUCCCGGGGCUCAACCCCGGAAUUGCCUUUGAUACUGUUUAUCUUGAGUGCAGAAGAGGUAAGUGGAAUUCCCAGUGUAGAGGUGAAGUUCGUAGAUAUUGGGAAGAACACCGGUGGCGAAGGCGGCGACCUGGCUCGAUACUGACGCUGAGGCGCGAAAGCGUGGGGAGCAAACAGGAUUAGAUACCCCUGUAGUC
rnacentral:rRNA from 1 species